AGGGAUUUAGCUCAGUGGUAUAAGCACCUGCCUGGCAAGCACGAGGUUGAGUUCAAUCCCUG
rnacentral:tRNA from 1 species